AGCAGUGUGUUGUAGUGGUAAGCAGCAGGGCUCGUAACCGAAAGGUCGCUGGUUUGAUUCCGUGCCGGUGCAC